AGGGAUUUAGCUCAGUGGCAUAAGCACCUGCCUUCCAAGCAGGCGGUCGUGAGUUCGAUCCCUG
rnacentral:tRNA from 1 species